rfam:Mink coronavirus strain WD1133, complete genome.
ACUUUUAAAGAUAAGUGCGUGUAGCGUAGCUGCCCACCUUUCUUUAACUUGACUCUUGUCAAUUCUACUCAACUAAACGAAAUUUUGUUACCACACAUUUUAUGUGGGUAACAUUUUGGUAAUUUCGUUUUUAUCAAGCUUGUCAACCAUUCUGAGUUAGGGGUCUGGCUAGCUGGGUGUGUUCCGUCACACCCAGUAGGUGUUUCAGCUAGUUCCGUCUAGUUGUUACGUGGAUCCUAGUUCCGUCUAGGUGAAACCUCACUCCCCUCAGUAUGGGAUCCAAGCAUUUUAAAAUCCUUG